CGCUAAUAAAGUGAGACCUUGACAACAGAAUCUUGCUUGGUCUCCUUCCUGUCUCUCACCCACAUCUUUUCCAGAUAGCACCUCUUUCGGGACCUUGGAAUAACUGACCCACUAGGCGGGUUACAGGCGCCUGCACACACACACCUGUGAGUGAACAUGUGGAAGCCAGAGGAGGCUGUCAGGUGUCCUUCUCCAUCUGUGUCUUUCUGUUUCCUGGCUGCCACGAGGCGAAUAGCUCCCCUCUCCACUCUCUCACCACUGGAGUGGUCUGCCUUGCCUCAAGCCCAAAGUAAUGGAGCCAGCCAAGCAGAACUGACUCUGAAACCCAAGCAAAAAUCUGUGAUGAAUCAAGCCCCUGGAAGAGGGUAAUUUGGAGGAACACAUAGUCUGGAAACAACACUCUGCAUCUGAAAUAAAACAAGAGGCCAUGUAUAGAGGUUUUCUACAAGGAGUAGAUGAGGAAUGAGGCGCACUGACCUGCUUCAGAAGGUAAG